UUUAUGGAGAGUUUGAUCCUGGCUCAGGAUGAACGCUGGCGGCGUGCCUAAUACAUGCAAGUCGAGCGAACUGAUGAGGAGCUUGCUCCUUUGACGUUAGCGGCGGACGGGUGAGUAACACGUGGGUAACCUACCUAUAAGACUGGAAUAACUCCGGGAAACCGGGGCUAAUGCCGGAUAACAUAUCGAACCGCAUGGUUCG
rnacentral:rRNA from 1 species